AAGGCGUAUAAGGUAGGCUUCCACUACAAUGCCUUACUGAUGAGUCCAGUAUAGUGGAAGCCGGGACGAAACGCCAA
rnacentral:hammerhead_ribozyme from 15 species